ensembl:lncRNA
UUUUCACCCCAGGAAACCGUGUCUGGCCUUGAUUUAGAGCCUACUUACUCUUACUUCACUCAGAGUUUUAACAAGCUUAGUAGUACUUUGCAGUUCCCAGAGCAUCAGAAUUGCCAUAUAUUAUCCAAAAAGCCUAUUUAAUGUAAAAUGCAAUUUUAUAUUUGGAAAGGGGUAAAAAACUUAUUUUCCUAGGAUAAACUAGAAAAGAAAAAACUUGAAAAAUAUUUCCAGUUUGUGAGGAUUAGACAUCUCUAAAGGACAGGUAGAAACUUUUGCGUUUAUUAAAAUGUUUAAAUAUAAGAAUUAAAAUUUUAUUUAAAUAAUUUUAAAAGGAGGGAGUACAGGUUAAAACUAAGUCACACACCACAUAAUGACGUUUCAGUCAACCACAGACCACAUACGUGCUAGUGGUCCUUCAAUAUUAGCACCAUACAGCCCAGAUGUAUAGUAGGCUACACCAUCUGGGACUGUGUAAGUGUAAUCCACGACGUUCACAUGACACUGAAAUCACCUAGCAAUGCAUUUCUCAGAACGCAUCCCUGUUACUGUUAGGGGACACACGACUGUACUGAGAAACCUUGACCUUGGGCUUGAAGUCAGGGUUUAAAGCUCAGCUCCACCCCUUCCUAGCCAGGUGACUUUAGGCAAAUUAACGUCUUUGAGCCUCAGUUUCCUCAUCUGUAAGAAGGGGCUAAUAAUAGCACUAAUUCAUGAGUCUGCUCUGAGGAUUGAAUGAGACAAUCCAAGAGAAGCAUUUGACACGCAAAGCUCUCGGCAAAGAUGAGCAAACUCAUCAUCUACAACUUUGCAAACUCCUUGAAACCUCGACUCAGAAUGGCCCCCACAUAUCUCAUAUAUAAUAAAUGAUUAAGUUCAGUUUCCCAUUCAUUCAUUCAUUCAAAAAAUAUUUACUACAUAUCUUUUCUGGACCAGGUACCUUUCUGUUCCCUGGGAUAAAGAAGUAAACAAAAUACACAUUAUGUGAAUUUUAAUUCAGAUUACUAAACUAUGAUAGGUCAUUUUUUAAGUGUUCAGAGAAGUUACAUUAAUGGAGAGAAGAGUCACAAGGGAGGGUAUUUUUCAUUUUGAAGACUGCAAGACACACUGGAAUGAGGGUCUCGGGGCAAGAAAGCAAGUGAGGAGAGCAGGGCCCUAAAAUGAGGUCUCUGGCACUCAGACCUGCUGUCUACUGAAGGCCGGUUCUGAAUUCUACCAGGCUCUUUCUUCUGGCCAAAGCCACACUUACUUGAUGCUGUGUAGCUUUCUCGUGACUAUCACCGGAAAGUCAACUUCAAAAUAUUUCCUUGGGAGAAGACCCUCAUCCUGAGAAAAAACACAGUUAUCUUUAUAAUUAUUUAUUCAGUCAUAUAUUCACUGAUCAUCCUCACAGACCAAGUACCAAGGCCCGAGGAGCAAUGGGGUAUUUAAGGAUUUUAAAUCAGGGGAUGAUAUGGUCAGAAAUGCAUUUUCUAAAUUACUUUGGUCUCAGUAUGAGGAACAGAUGGCGCAAAAAAUUAGGAGGUUACUGUGGUCACCUAGGCAAGAAGUAAUGGGCAGCCAGAACUGGGGAAGCGUCCACUGGGAUGGAGUGGGGAGGAGCAGGAGGCACUCUGGACGUAGGAUGUAACAGGAAGCAGCUUGAGACCAAUUAGAGAGAGUCAGGAAAUCAGUGUAGUGGGUAUGGACAAGAAUCUUUUGGAUGAAAUGAAAUAAAAUAGCAAAUAUCAGAAAGCAUCACAUGAGGUGAGGGUAAGUACUAUUUUGUAAUAUAUUUAUUUUUUUCUCUGACAGUGGAGUAUACUGGGGUGGUAAAGGACAGGGACUCUGCAGCCCGGGCGGACAGGGUUCAAAUCCCAGCUCCACCACUUGUUCACUCUGAGGCCUUGGGAAAGUCACUAAACUCCCUGAGCCAAGGCUUCCUCAUUUGAAAAGUAGAGAAAAUGAUACCACCUCGUGGGGUUGUGAGGAUUAAUGAGGAAAUACAGGAGUGAGAGAACAGGGCCUGCACCUAGUAAGCACCAUGUGUGUGCCCUUAUUAUUUAGACAUCAGUACAUAGAUGUGGGUGCUAGAUUGGGAUAUACAUUUAUUUUUUACUGUGAGCUGCAGUAAAAAAAAAAAAACUGUGAAAACCUCACACAUAGAGACACACACACACGGCCCUGCUUCCCCCUUCUGCUUCCCUAGCUGGGUGGUACUAUCCCCUCCUCCCCACAGUCACUCACUGGUCAUCCUAGAAUUCUCUCCGUCUCCACCCUGUUUGAUCAGUCACUCAGCCCUGCCUGCUGACUAUCCUAGAAGGCAUCCUCUCCUCUUCCGCUCUGUCCCCAACUGCACAGACUCUAACAACAUCCCUUUCUGAUCUCUUUCAACGACACACUUCAUGUUGCCUGCAGCAGCUCUUCCCACCUCUAAGAUUGAGCUAAGAUGCUGGGUGCUCCACAACCUGGCCCACCUGCCCACCUUCUGGCCUAGUACUCUUUUAACAUCCCUGCUCCCAUCUGUGCUUAUAUUCCAGAAAUACAGAACUACUUAUUUAAAAAGAAAGUUGCUGAUAUCCAGAACCUGGUGUGGUGUCAAUAGAGGGUGGGAUAAAGAAAAAGGAGGAGUAAGGAUGGCACCCUUGUUUCUGCCCUGAGCAACUGGGCAGGAGAGAGAACCAUUUAUGUAGACAGUAGUAAGAGAUGGAGAGCAGUAUGGAGGGGCAGCAGACCCCCUGAUGGGACAGCAUGAUGGGAAUGGAAAUCAUGAGCAAGCAUUUCCUAGUAGGAAGGUGACCCCUAAGGGCAAGUGUCAGAAAUGUGAGAUCCAGCUCCCCCACCCUAUGCAGACACUAGUCCUCAGUUAAAGUCCUAGGGGAUCUGGAGGGGUGGGGGAGGAGGAAGGAAGAGAGGGAGGGAGAGAGGGAAGGAUGGGGCAAGAGAAAGAGAGAGAGAAGAGAGGAAGGAAAGGAAGGUACGAGGGAGGCAGUGGCGGAGGGUGGGGGGAGGAAUAAACAAGACAGUUUCCUGACAUCAGAGGAGCUCCCGCCUAUCAGCAGAGUAGGGCUAUGUAAUCUAUUUGAAGAUCCGUGGAGGACGUGUUUAGAGCAUGUGUGGAAAUCGCACCUCCCACCUGGCGUGGUUCCCUGGUGGGAGGUGCAUGAGACAACAAGACCAACAGACAACAUUUUCCUCACUCUUUUAUAGGAGCACAUAUAUUUCUAAAACAGGGAUUAGCAAACUUUCUGUAAAGAGUCAGAAAUAAGUAUUUUAGCCUGUGAAGGCCAGACGGUCUGUCAUAACUGCUGAACUCCGCGGUCACAGUGCUAAAGCAGCCACAGAGAAUAUGGAAAUAAAUGGGAG